rnacentral:piRNA from 1 species
UGCAAAAAUAAUGGUAAAAAU